rnacentral:tRNA from 1 species
UCCCUGGUAGCUCACAUGGUAAAGUAUCUGCCUACAAUGCAGAAAACCGAGGUUCGAUCCCUGGAUGAGGAA